UGGAAAUUGAAAAAGUACUUUAAAAACCUGAGUAACCAGUGAAGUGUCUGCUGAUUUGGGGGCAGGAUGAAGAACUGAAAGCUGCCCUGGGCUCCUUUCUGGGAGAGGCAGGCAUUCCUGCCGGGUGGAACCCAGUGUGGACUUGCACACUUUUCUGUGUGUGUCUCUUUCACAAACCAACCCGAGCAAUUGUGGUCACAUUUUGACCCUCGAAUGCCAAUCAAUGAACGGAAACAGCAGUUGAAAAUAUGCACUCAGACGUCAUCCACGUGGCAGCCGGGCUUUGAGAUACGGGGACGGCCUUCCGCGCUCUGGUGCCUGCGGCCGAGAGAAGAGGACGGCUUUCCGCACGAUGCCUGCUUUGCUCUGGGCUCCUGAGACUCUCCUGGCAGACGCAGAGGCUGCUGGUCGGUGCUGCUGGCUGGGCACGGAGGUGGGAAGAGCCAGGACCACAGAGCAGAGGAAGGAGGUAAGGAUUAACCCUGCAUGGCCUGGGAGGAAUCUUGGUAAGGAAGGAGCCCACUACUACUCCUGCUGCCCUCCUCCCCGCCACCUUACCUAGUUCACAAGACAGGAGGAAAGAGAGAAAGCAAAAAGUUGGAAAGAAAC
rnacentral:lncRNA from 1 species